GACGAACCGUGCGACCGUUGUUCGGAAUCACUGGGCUUAAAGGGCGCGUAGGCGGGCUGUCAAGUCCGGGGUGAAAUCCUCCAGCUCAACUGGAGAAUGGCCUCGGAUACUGAUGGUCUCGAGGAGGAUAGGGGCACACGGAACUGUGGGUGGAGCGGUGAAAUGCGUUGAUAUCCACAGGAACUCCGGUGGCGAAAGCGGUGUGCUGGAUCCUUUCUGACGCUGAUGCGCGAAAGCCAGGGGAGCAAACGGG
rnacentral:rRNA from 1 species